rnacentral:rRNA from 1 species
AAAGAGGGGGACCUUCGGGCCUCUUGCCAUCGGAUGUGCCCAGAUGGGAUUAGCUAGUAGGUGGGGUAAAGGCUCACCUAGGCGACGAUCCCUAGCUGGUCUGAGAGGAUGACCAGCCACACUGGAACUGAGACACGGUCCAGACUCCUACGGGAGGCAGCAGUGGGGAAUAUUGCACAAUGGGCGCAAGCCUGAUGCAGCCAUGCCGCGUGUAUGAAGAAGGCCUUCGGGUUGUAAAGUACUUUCAGCGGGGAGGAAGGGAGUAAAGUUAAUACCUUUGCUCAUUGACGUUACCCGCAGAAGAAGCACCGGCUAACUCCGUGCCAGCAGCCGCGGUAAUACGGAGGGUGCAAGCGUUAAUCGGAAUUACUGGGCGUAAAGCGCACGCAGGCGGUUUGUUAAGUCAGAUGUGAA